AUUUGAAAGUGAUACGAUCAUAAUGUUUGCUUUCUUUUACACUUGACUCAGCCCAAGCCACAUUUACUAUGUAGUAAACACAGGUAGUAAACACAGUAAACACACUGCGGGAGGCAGUGGAGGACAGAAGUGCCUGGCGUGCUCUGGUCCAUGGGGUCACGAAGAGUCGGACACGACUAAACGACUAAACAACAACAACAAAAACACAGGUUGAAUUUUAUUCCUCAUGAAACAUUCACAUAACCACUUCACCAUACAACCCAGAUAAACUAUGACCACAUCCUCACAUUUCCACUUUGGUCCUAUGAAUUGGUUCCCUCACCUUACUUAGUGCCUGCUGUAGUAUGAUUCUUGUGGU